AAACUACUCCCUCCGUUCGGAAUUACUUGUCGCGAAAAUGGAUGUAUCUAGAUGUAUUUUAGUUCUAGAUACAUCCAUUUCCGAGACAAGUAAUUCCGAACGGAGGGAGUAGCAA
rnacentral:pre_miRNA from 1 species